rnacentral:snRNA from 1 species
UGCUUUGUGCAGUGGCGGUAUUGUAGCCAAUGAGGUUUAUCCAAGGCAUGAUUAUUGCUAAUUACAAGGUCUCCAGCUGUUAUCUGUAGGGUGUAUCAUAGGGAUGGAGGACCAAAGUGGA